GGAGAGAUGGCAGAGUGGUCGAAUGCGUCGGUUUUGAAAACCGAAGUGGGGGCAACCUCACCGGGGGUUCGAAUCCCUCUCUCUCCGCCA
rnacentral:tRNA from 1 species